CAAGCGUUAAUCGGAAUUACUGGGCGUAAAGCGUGCGCAGGCGGUUUGUUACGUCUGUUGUGAAAUCCCCGAGCUCAACUUGGGAAUUGCAAUGGAUACUGGCAGGCUGGAGUAUGGUAGAGGAAGGUGGAAUUCCCGGUGUAGCAGUGAAAUGCGUAGAGAUCGGGAGGAACACCAGUGGCGAAGGCGGCCUUCUGGACCAAUACUGACGCUCAUGCACGAAAGCGUGGGGAGCAAACAGG
rnacentral:rRNA from 1 species